GCCGAAGUGGCGGAACUGGCAGACGCACAGGACUUAAAAUCCUGCGGUGCUUAAACCACCGUACCGGUUCGAUUCCGGUCUUCGGCACCA
rnacentral:tRNA from 3 species